UCCCAAGCAUAGUUGCAGGGCAGCAGC
rnacentral:piRNA from 1 species